CACGCCGCGCUAUUGCUAUGCCACCAACCGUCCACUCCCACGCCACCCACCCGGAGCCAGAUCUAGAUCGAGACCCCCUCCACCGGCGGCCUCCCGUCCCUCCUUCCUCAACCUCAUCUCCUCUGUCAGAGCAACCGUUCCAAUCUUUGAGAUCUCAGCUCCCCCUCCCCCUCCUCCUCCACCCUCGUCUUGCCGCUGCUGAUCCUCCUGCUGCUGCUGCUGCUCGUGCAGGAGAGAGGAGGCCAUGACGCCAUCACCAUCGCCACCCUGGACAUGGACGUAGACAUGGGGGUGGAGGCGACGCAGAUGGGCGCGGAACCGGCGGCGCACGGGCGGCUGCUGUGGGCGACCGGCGGCGGGCGGAGGUACAUCAGCUACGACGCGCUACGGGGGACGUUGUGUUGUGCUCCCGGCCAGGGGUGCCCUACUACAACUGCCGCAUCAGCACCACCGCCAACCCCUACACCCGCGGCUGCGAGUCCAUCACCCACUGUCGCGAGGACGACCCUUCCUAGGUUGUAAACAGAAUCCAGAAAUUACGGAAGACUACUCAGCUUGAACCUACAGACUUAAUUGAUGUUUACUACGAGUCUGUAGACAACAGCAGCAAUACACUUGAAGAAAUUUUGCAGUCACAGGAUCAGUGUAUUAGGGACGUGCUUGGUAAUUCACUAGUUCCAAAGGCAGCGGCAACAUCAGAUAUGACUCUGGUAAUUGGCCUAAUUAAAUAUUAAGUUUCACAUCAUAAUAAACACCAAAGUUGGCCAGAGGUUGUAUUGUUGGCCAACCUGAGAGCAUAAGCAGCUGGGCAGUGUUUGUGCUGUGACGUUUUGAUCCUAUCAUGUAGUCUCGCCGUCUCGGUGUUCGUGUAUGUACUACCUAUAACUCCUAUAUGUAACUAAGAUUUGAUUCCAACUCCCAAGAUAUUAUUGCACGGGGGAACCUGGAUUGUAGGGAGUGUUAUAUUAAAGAACCUGGAUUAUAUGGUGCGUAAUUGAUCCAGACAGGGCUUGGUUGUGAUCCCCCUAGUCUUUCCUGUAUGUUUUUUGCUGGGUCAGUAACGACUGACGGAUGAAAAAUUUAUCCCAUGCUAGGAGUAGGAGGCACUACUGAACUUUGCAGCGAUGCUGAAGCAACGGAUGACACCAGAAACAAACUGUCACUAGUUUCCAGUUUGAUGCUGAAUUAUGAAUGAAUGCCUAGACAAAGUUGGAUUUCGUGUUGCUGACCGACUGCUGCUUGGGCCCUUCGCGUGGCGUCGUCUCUUCCUUUCACGAAGUUUGUUCUUUACGUAUUCUGACUAGUGGUUUACUAUCUCUCUACAUAGUUUCUUAGAUGGAAACCUCAUAGAGUAGUUAGUGUACAGCCAGAGUCCAGUAUGAUAUCUCAAUCUUGAAUAAAGCAUUUGAAUUUAAGCUAGUAGAUAUUGAGCUUUGUGAUUGAAGUGUCUGUUGAAUACAUCUAAUCUGAACAAUUUCACAUUUGCUUCUCUGAUAAGUAAGGUUUGUUUUCAUUUACAAGUAGAAGAUAGUGAUAGAGUUUGAAGGUAUGUGCAAAGAUCUUCUCCUCCGUCGCCGUCCGCGACAAAGCUGUUGGGUGCAUCCGUCCAUCAUCUUUAGAUCUGAGUGAAGAGGGCAUCCGUCCAUCUCAAAAGGAUAUGGAUGACCAUCUGAUGGUAUGCAGGUUUCUUCCCAAACUUAACGAUGAGAUACUAGGUGAAAGAAAUGCUCUCUACAAGGAAAGGUUGAGCAGCCUAGAGAAUUUAGUACUGAUCAUGAGGUGAUCGACGCAGACUACCGCGACCCGGUGGGCGUCGUGCUCUUCAACAACUCGGAGGCGGAUUUUGCUGUGAAGCCCGGCGACCGCGUCACACAGAUGAUUGUCUAGGUGAUUGCGAUGCCGAAGCUCGCCGAGGUGGAGGACCUUGACGUCACCGUCUGGAGGUCAUCGAGGUGGAGGACCUCGACGCCAUCGUCUCGAGGUUGCCGAGGUGGAGGAUCUCGACGCCACCGUCUCGAGGUUGCCAAGGUGAAGGACCUCGACGCCUUGGUAGAUACAUCUAGAGAAGUGGUCAUGUUAGGUUGGUGGUGGAACGCUAGGGAAGGUACCCACCUUUCGGUGACGGUUGUGUGCGUCUGAUGUAUAAAUGGUAUCUCGUGAUUAGAUGUUCAAUGUUGUAUCCAUGAAUGUUGCAAGUGCUAAGAUGGUUCUGUGACAUUUUAUUUUGCC